UCCUGUGGGCAGGAAUGGCAGCCAGCUCCAAACUCCUGCACCUGGGAAAGGAGAGGAGGGAAGGAGUCUGGAUCCUGUCUCAGUCACCUCUGGUGCACUCAGGCUUAGGGAUGGACGGGGCCUAGAGCCCACACAGGCAACGCAAACUAAGCUGAGGGAUGGGCUCGCCAUUGCGCUGGAUACGACAGCAAGGCCACGUCACAGAAAGCGGAGAGAGCAGUGUCAUUGUUUGUGAUGACACAAACUGCCUCUGCUAUCUGUGCUUACUCUUUGUAUCUCUAUAUAUACACACACAAGCCAGGCAAGCCAGGCAGGAUUCCUCAGCUCUAGCUCGGUUCACCUUGUCACCCACGACCAAGUUCUGUGAAAAAGCAGGGCUGUAGAUAUUGCUAAUAACAGAAUUCCAGUCACAAAGCACACUUGUAGAGGUAGUGUUCAAGAAACCUGCUAUGAUCUCACUGAGGGCAGGAGGUAUUGGCUCUAUCAUCCCUUCUAAUCUCAUUUAGAGGAUCUGCAGGAAUGAAAGAACAGUCUGCAUGAAAGCCCAGUUCAGACUUAGCCUGCACAACACACAGGCAGAAGCCCAGUAAUGAAACCAACACUGAAAUUUGGAAUUUGAAUUUCCUUACAGUUUAUGUUGUCUGAUCUCAGCCUCCAACUCCAAGCACCAAAUGCUGAUCUGUUGAAAUGCAAUGGACUGUGCUCCAGUAAAUGAUUUAUUGCCUCCAAGGGGUUUCCUUAGUGAGAAUCACAGUUUCUCUCAGGAGAAGAAACAGCCAUACCAAGUGUUAGUGCUAAAAUAUGCUGUCAAGUACAUAAGGUUAUGGAAGGCUGCAUCAGAAAAGCUGCUGUGGAGGGAAAUAAUGCUCAUGAUUUGUUCAUAAUUUCCUCUACUAUUUGAAAGCAGAUGUAAUCAGCUGCAAAUACCUUUUGAGAUGCAACUGUAUAGCCAACAAUACCCAUGUUUUUGGGCAUGUCUCAAUCUGAUCUCCUCUAUUUCUCUCUAAUUUAUACUGACUGAGGGCCUUCAGUGCUUUGGGUAGCUGAGUGAUGACCUUCUCCUGUUAAAAGCUCUUACUCCACUCCUCUGUUGUGCUGCAAACUGAACUCCCAGCCUGCAAAGUUUUCUCCAAUGAAAGCCAACAGAAUUGAGUGGCUCGAGAUACCAGACUGAAACCCUGAUCCAGAUGAAGUCAGCAUCUGCCACUGGUGAUGAUUCUCUUGCAUCUGCACACCUCAGAUACUUGUGACAUCUGCCAUUGCUUCUCUGCACCAAAAUUCCUCUCCCAUCCUAAGUUCACAUCAGCAAAGAGUUCUUGUCGCCCCCAUUCCAAGCUUCCCACACACUUUCAGAAGGCAAAAUUGAAUAACCUUUCACCAGGCCAGAGUACCAUCCUCUACAUUCAGUGAUGCCUAACUUGCCCUAGGUCAUCACCAAUAGGUUUUUCACGGGGUUAAUGAUUUUGGAAAGCUCUGAAAAGCAUUAGCACAGAGAGCAAUGUAGAGCUGAGGUCAUGCCAGGGGGAGGUGGAAGCCUCACGAGACUGGCCUGACCACAGUUGUCCCAGAAAAAGGGCAUUCACCCCAUCCCAGACAAGUUGGGGUGGAGAGAAAAAGAGAAAAAUAAAAUCAGGCCCUGGCUCAUAAAAGGUAGUAGAAAUUUAAUUAGAAGAAAUGUUGUACUUUACAUGCAAAGAAUUGCACAGAUCAGUAAUAACCUUUAUAAUAUCAUGGCAGAAGUUCACUGGGGAGCAAAUUCACUCUUCAAUGCUGCACUUUACAGUGAAUGAGGAAAUAAAAAGGCCUAUUGAAAUUCACUUUCCCUGGCAGGUAUCUUCAAUGAGAUUAUCAAAACAAAGCUACUAGAAAUCAAACAGAUUUAUGAGCAGUGAUAGUAAAAGAUCAUUUGAUACACGUGGAAAAAGCAAGGAAGCUUUCAAACAAACCCUUCAACUCCGAAGCAGAAAUCUCUAAGCUGAAACUAAACACAGGCUAGGGAGGCCUGAGCUUAUAUUUAUGCUUGGCAAUACAUAUUUUUGAAAGUUCUGUAUUUAUUUUC